rnacentral:rRNA from 1 species
AACGAACGCUGGCGGCGUGCCUAACACAUGCAAGUCGUGCGAGAAAGGGAGCUUCGGCUCCUGAGUAGAGCGGCGAACGGGUGAGUAACACGUGGGUAACCUACCCCCGAGAUCGGGAUAACCUUCCGAAAGGAGGGCUAAUACCGGAUGAGACCACGGUCUUUAGGGGCGGUGGUCAAAGGGUGGCCUCUGCAUGCACGCUACCGCUCGAGGAUGGACCCGCGCACCAUUAGCUUGUUGGCGGGGUAACGGCCCACCAAGGCGAAGAUGGUUAGCUGGUCUGAGAGGAUGGCCAGCCACACUGGGACUGAGACACGGCCCAGACUCCUACGGGAGGCAGCAGUGGGGAAUAUUGCGCAAUGGUCGAAAGACUGACGCAGCGACGCCGCGUGUGGGAGGAAGCCCUUCGGGGUGUAAACCACUGUCAGGGGGGAAGAACCCCGGUCAUGGGAAUAUCAUGGCCGGCUGACGGUACCCCCAGAGGAAGCGCCGGCUAACUCCGUG